GGGGAUGUAAAGGUUUCGACGUGGAUGGUUGUAUCAUGAAUAGCGAGCCGGGGUUUCAUCUGCCCGUAAAUCGGUGAACCUUUUAAAUUAAACGCAAAAGAAAACAAUUUUGCUUUAGCUGCCUAAGUGCGGCUAACGUCUCCUGCUGCUAAUCCUGCGGGCAGCUCGCAGACGUCACUUAGCGGGAUACCACAUGGCUCUGCCUGGUAGUCGUGUCGGGAAACUCACAGGCUGGAAUCGUCUAGUUUGUCCUUGUACGAAAACGGUUUAAGAUCCUAACAAGGUCUGCGCUCGGAGAAGUUCAUGGGGCGGCAUUUACGGACAGGAGUUCGACUCUCCUCAUCUCCACCA
rfam:Megasphaera elsdenii strain DSM 20460 draft genome